rnacentral:misc_RNA from 1 species
GAUGAAGAACGUAGCGAAAUGCGAUACUUGGUGUGAAUUGCAGAAUCCCGUGAACCAUCGAGUCUUUGAACGCAAGUUGCGCCCGAAGCCAUUAGGCCGAGGGCACGUCUGCCUGGGCGUCACACAACGUUGCCCCCCCAAACCUUGACUUCCAAGAGGACGGGGGGCGGAUGUUGGCCUCCCGUGCGCCACGGCUCGCGGUUGGCCCAAAUGCGAGUACUCGGCGACGAGCGCCGCGGCAAUCAGUGGUUGUCCAACCCUCGGUGCCAUGCUGCGCGCGCUAGCCGCUCACUGUUACUCGACGACCCCAAUGCGUCGUAGCCACGACGCUCACAACGCGACCCCAGGUCAGGCGGGGCUACCCGCUGAGUUUAAGCAUAUCAAUAAGCGGAGGA